rnacentral:rRNA from 1 species
UCGGGUUGUAAAGCACUUUUGUCCGGAAAGAAAACCGCUUCUCUAAUACAGAGGUGGGAUGACGGUACCGGAAGAAUAAGCACCGGCUAACUACGUGCCAGCAGCGCGGUAAUCGUAGGGUGCGAGCGUUAAUCGGAAUUACUGGGCGUAAAGCGUGCGCAGGCGGUUCGCUAAGACCGAUGUGAAAUCCCCGGGCUUAACCUGGGAACUGCAUUGGUGACUGGCGGGCUAGAGUAUGGCAGAGGGGGGUAGAAUUCCACGUGUAGCAGUGAAAUGCGUAGAGAUGUGGAGGAAUACCGAUGGCGAAGGCAGCCCCCUGGGCCAAUACUGACGCUCAUGCACGAAAGCGUGGGGAGCAAACAGGAUUAGAUACCCUGGUAGUCCACGCCCUAAACGAUGUCAACUAGUUGUCGGGUCUUCAUUGACUUGGUAACGAAGCUAACGCGUGAAGUUGACCGCCUGGGGAGUACGGUCGCAAGAUUAAAACUCAAAGGAAUUGACGGGGACCCGCACAAGCGGUGGAUGAAUGUGGAUUAAUUCGAUGCAACGCGAAAAACCUUACCUACCCUUGACAUGUACGGAACCUUGCCG